CUUGAGCAAGCUUUCAUUGCUAGUGAAAGUGAGAAUUCAUAGAAAACAACCUCAGCAAAUAAAAAGCUUUGGGAUGGGUACCUACGAUUGAACUCUGUCCUAACUGUUUCUACAAUUGCCUUCUUUCAAAGUGCUGAAAAGAUGUCCAACAAAUGGUCCAAAUAUGUUGAAGUGAAAGGGAGAGUUAAAUUACAUAAUUUUGAAAAAUACAUUCAAGAACUUCCUCGCUCACGCAAGAAUUGAUU
rnacentral:lncRNA from 1 species